GACGAACGCUGUCGGCGUGCUUAACACAUGCAAGUCGAACGGAGAGGAGAACGGGUGAGUAACACGUGGGUGAUCUGCCUUGCACUUCGGGGUAAGAAUGGGAAAAUGGGUCUAAUACCGGAUAGUGCAAGAUGAGCUCGCGGGCUAUCAGAUUGUUGGGGGGGUAAUGGCCUACCAAGGUGUCGACUGGUCACCGGCCUGAGAGGGUGUACGGCCACAUGGUGACUGAGAUACGGCCCAGACUCCUACGGGAGGCAGCAGUGGGGAAUAUUGCACAAUGGGCGGAAGCCUGAUGCAGCGACGCAGCGUGGGGGAUGAAGGCCUUCGGGUUGUAAACUCCUUACGACAGGGACGCGGUACCUGUAUAAGAAGCACCGGCUAACUACGUGCCAGCAGCCGCGGUAAUAC
rnacentral:rRNA from 1 species